UGUGUGAGCGAGCCUGCUCGCGAUAGCGGUGGAUCAGUCAUUCCGCCAUCGCGAGCAGGCUCGCUCCCACA
rnacentral:misc_RNA from 1 species